AAGUGCAGGCCACACCUGCUGGCUCCAGGAGAGACGACUUUACACAGACUUGGCAUGAAGUUACAGCAAGUCACACGAUAAUAACAAGGACUCCAGCUAGGUGCUGUGCCAGGCCCUGCAGACACAGAGGUGAAUAAGUGACGACGCUCGUCCUUCUGGAAUGCAGAGUCCAGCUGUGGAGGCAGACUAGUAACCAGCUAAUUACUACCUGUGGGCUGGACCUUCGCUGGGGGCUCAGGAAGCCUCUGCUGAUGGAGUCACAGGCCUGGAAACCCUCCCUGCGCCUCGGCCUCUAAGUCUGGUUUCUCACUAACCAUGGUGUGGCAGCUUCAUUCAUUCCCAGGCCACUCUUGAGUGGGAACAAGGGGCCUCUGCCACCACCUGCUGGUGUCCCAGAGAAGGCUCCUACAGUCACCCACCGGACGUUCAUCCAGAAACUGAGGCUCAGAGAGGGCAAGCAACUUGCCCAAGAUCCCACAGCAGAGGCAGGCCUCGACCCCAGACAAGCUGUGACUCAGUGGGAAGACCUGGCCCUGGUCCAAAUCCUG